rnacentral:rRNA from 1 species
GUGGGGAAUUUUGGACAAUGGGGGAAACCCUGAUCCAGCGACGCCGCGUGAAGGACGAAGGCCUUCGGGUUGUAAACUUCUUUUGGAGGGGACGAAUAAAUUGACGGUACCCUCAGAAAAAGCCACGGCUAACUACGUGCCAGCAGCCGCGGUAAUACGUAGGUGGCGAGCGUUACUCGGAAUUACUAGGCGUAAAGCGUAUGUAGGUGGUCAGAUAAGUCUAUGGUGAAAUUUCCUGGCUCAACUGGGAAGGGACAUAGAUACUAUCUGGCUUGAGUGUGGGAGGGGAAGACGGAAUUCCUGGUGUAGCGGUGAAAUGCGUAGAUAUCAGGAGGAACACCGAUGGCGAAAGCAGUCUUCUGGCCCAAUACUGACACUGAGGUACGAAAGCUAGGGUAGCAAACAGGAUUAGAUACCCUUGUAGUCC